CGAGGUGGGAAGAUCACUUGAGCCUAGGAGUGUAAGACCAGCCUGGGCAACAUAGCAAGAUCCCAUCUCUACAGAAAAUUUUAAAAAUUAGCCAAGCAUGGUGGCACACACCUUUAGUCCCAGCUACCUGGGAGAUGGAGGCUGGAGGAUUACUUGUGCCUAGGAGUUGGAGAGUGCACUGAGCUAUGAUUGCACCACUGCACUCCAGCCUGGCUGACAGAACAGACCGUGUCUCUUAAAAAAAUAAAAAGAAAAAAAUGAGGCAGAAAUGAAAGGAAUGGUUGGGUGUUUAUUACUUAAAAUAUGAUGGUCAUGUAAAAUAGAUGAGUAAUAUUAUAAUGCAAAAUAUUUGGAUAUUUAAAUACAAAUAUGUAAAAUUUAUACUAAGGUAGAUAUCAUAAUUGUACCCAUUUGAGCCAUGAGACUUGUUUCUGGCUAUCCCAUUUCCUUUUCAUAGUGAUUUUAGAGCCAACAAGAUUACUUGCAAAUUAUUGAACAGGAGAUAUGGAAGUAAACACAGUAAAUAUAUCUCUCACAGUUAUGGCAUAUUAUUCAUCAUGUUUAGUGCAAUACCAUAAACCUUGAGUAACACCAUGGGACCUAUAUGAAGUGCCACUGGUGAUACUGUAAGUGCUCCCAA
rnacentral:lncRNA from 1 species